UACGAAGGGGGGCUAGCGUUGCUCGGAAUGACUGGGCGUAAAGGGCGCGUAGGCGGUUUGUACAGUCAGGUGUGAAAUUCCCGGGCUCAACCUGGGGGGCUGCACUUGAUACGUAGGAACUUGAGUGGGGGAAGAGGGUCGUGGAAUUCCCAGUGUAGAGGUGAAAUUCGUAGAUAUUGGGAAGAACACCGGUGGCGAAGGCGGCGACCUGGUCCUUGACUGACGCUGAGGCGCGAAAGCGUGGGGAGCAAACAGG
rnacentral:rRNA from 1 species